UCGGACGGGUGAGUAACGCGUGAGAAUCUGCCUUCAGGUCUGGGACAACCACUGGAAACGGUGGCUAAUACCGGAUGUGCCGCAAGGUGAAAGGUUAACUGCCUGAAGAUGAGCUCGCGUCUGAUUAGCUAGUAGGUAGUGUAAAGGACUACCUAGGCGACGAUCAGUAGCUGGUCUGAGAGGACGAUCAGCCACACUGGGACUGAGACACGGCCCAGACUCCUACGGGAGGCAGCAGUGGGGAAUUUUCCGCAAUGGGCGAAAGCCUGACGGAGCAAUACCGCGUGAGGGAGGAAGGCUCUUGGGUCGUAAACCUCUUUUCUCAGGGAAGAACACAAUGACGGUACCUGAGGAAUAAGCAUCGGCUAACUCCGUGCCAGCAGCCGCGGUAAUACGGAGGAUGCAAGCGUUAUCCGGAAUGAUUGGGCGUAAAGCGUCCGCAGGUGGCUAUGUAAGUCUGCUGUUAAAGAGUCUAGCUCAACUAGAUAAGAGCAGUGGAAACUACAUGGCUAGAGUGCGUUCGGGGCAGAGGGAAUUCCUGGUGUAGCGGUGAAAUGCGUAGAGAUCAGGAAGAACACCGGUGGCGAAGGCGCUCUGCUAGGCCCGCAACUGACACUGAG
rnacentral:rRNA from 1 species